CUAUUCACCUUAUUUUUCACGACAACAAGGGCGGCGCCAUUUCGCUCAUUUUGUCAACGUUCUUCCGGCCGCAUAGACGAUGAGCAGCUGAGGCAGUGACUGAAAGCGACGUGUUAAGCUUAAAAAGCUCACUCGAGCGCCUUUAUGUUUCUUUCUUACCAAUUUUAAGCCAACUGAGGAACACCCUUAUCCCAAGUAAUGGUUCGACUACGAUGUUCCGGUAACUUUAAACCACGCCUGGUGUUGAAAAGGUGGCCAGUUUCAGAUGCAUUGAUGUUUAGUGAUGCAGUGGACAACUGUGAGGAUGAUACAAUCAACAUGUGAUGCAGAAACACAAUGGGAGCAUCUAUCCGUCUCUGACCACAACUACACUUUAAAAUCACAACUCAACCUGAAGCAACCUACAUCUGAUAUGGGAAAACAAUGGUGCGGUUUCCCGGACAGGGCUUAUCCUGGUCCCAGGCUAAAAUGCAUAUUUGAGCUACAAUAAUUUAAAAACACCUUUUACUGACAUACCUCAACAUAUAUUAGUGCCAUUGUUUUGUAACAAGAUGCGCACCAGUCUUGUUUUUUUGUAGGAUUUGUUUGUAAAAACUAAAAUGUCCUAAUAUAAUUAAGGCCUAGUCCUGUAAACCCUGUCCGAGAAACUGCUUCAAUGCUUCUGCUUCAUGUGUUGAGCUGGCACAAAUGUACAUAUCUCUGCUGAGAAACAACCAUCUUUGGUUCAGCUUUACACAGGGUUGAUAUUGCAUGCAUUACACAGUCGCCAAGCACUUUACCAGUACAUACACCAACAGCUUCCAGAUAUACGCUUGGGAUCAGCUCCUGAUGACUCCGAUAAAGCUGUGUCUUAAUUUAUUGCAGGGUGGUCUUGCUUUACCGGUUGUAAAGUUACAUUAAACCUUCAUAUGUGAUCAGAUGUCAUGCAGUGAUAUUAAACAUUUACAAUGUGAUCAGAUGUUGUGCAUUUAUAUUAAAUCUUUACAAUGUGAUCAUGUUGUGCAUUUAUAUUAAAUCUUUACAAUGUGA